rnacentral:tRNA from 1 species
ACCUGGGUGGCUCAGUUGGAAGAGCAUGAAACUUUUGAUCUCACUGUUGUGAGUCUGAGGCCCACACUGGGUG